rnacentral:lncRNA from 1 species
CAGCACUGGGGUCUAAUGCUAACCUUCUGGAAGGCAAGGUAGGCAGCCCGGACUCUAAACUGAGAUGCUGAGCACAUCUGCACACUGCCUUGGAAGUGUCAGCAAGUGCAACAGUACACUGAGAGAUUGACCUGCCCCAAAUCAU